rnacentral:rRNA from 1 species
AGAGUUUGAUCCUGGCUCAGGACGAACGCUGGCGGCGUGCCUAACACAUGCAAGUCGAACGAAGCAUUUAAGCUGAAUCCCUUCGGGGUGGAAGCUUUUAUGACUUAGUGGCGGACGGGUGAGUAACGCGUGAGUAACCUGCCUUUCAGAGGGGGAUAACAGUUGGAAACGACUGCUAAUACCGCAUAACGUAUUUUUAUCGCAUGAUAGAGAUACCAAAGCUGAGGCGCUGAAAGAUGGACUCGCGUCUGAUUAGAUAGUUGGUGAGGUAACGGCUCACCAAGUCGACGAUCAGUAGCCGGACUGAGAGGUUGAUCGGCCACAUUGGGACUGAGACACGGCCCAGACUCCUACGGGAGGCAGCAGUGGGGAAUAUUGCACAAUGGGCGAAAGCCUGAUGCAGCAACGCCGCGUGAGGGAAGACGGUUUUCGGAUUGUAAACCUCUGUCUUUGGUGAAGAUAAUGACGGUAGCCAAGGAGGAAGCCACGGCUAACUACGUGCCAGCAGCCGCGGU